rnacentral:lncRNA from 1 species
CAAAUAUAUGUGCAUAGUGAUCCUAGAGAUCAAUGCUCAUUGAACAUAUAGAAACGGAAUAACAAGAGUCUUACAUCCAUUUCAUACCUUUUUUCUAAAAUAUGGCCUUUAUGGCCAAGUCUUCAUAUAUAUUUGAAGUGGAAAUCUUCAUCGAUAGCAUGAACCCAUGGCAUCUGCCUUAACCCUACACGCAUUCUGACUAGGAACCGUGCUAACUCACACGUACGUCACCAAGGUACUCUUCAUAAUAUCAUGUGCUUUCAUGCCUUGCCAAUAAAAUAACUAGUGGCAAGCCAAUGAGUACUUUGAAUGUACUCGCUACUAGUAAUGGGGGCUCUCUACUAGCAUCAACCAAGGCAAUCAACAAAGACC